AUGUCUUGCUUCUAUCUUACUAAAACUUUUUGUCAAGAGUUGAGCUCGUUGAUGGGAAUAUACUGGUGGAGACAACAGGAAAAGGAGAAUACUAUCCAUUGGAUUAGUUGGGAGAAGCUAACAAAGUCCAAAGCCCAGGGUGGUUUAGGGUUUAGAGACAUGCACAGUUUCAAUAUAGCCAUGUUAUCCAAACAGAUUUGGAGGAUGAUAGAGCACCCGGAUUCCCUGUGCGCACAAAUCUUGAAAGCGCGUUACUUCCCUGACACCCAUGUGCUCGAAGCCAUUCUGAAGGAGGGUAUCUCCUAUGCGUGGCGCAACCUCUUACAUGGCAUCCAAUUGUUCAAAUAA
rnacentral:rRNA from 1 species